AGUCGAACGGCAGCGCGGGGCAACCUGGCGGCGAGCGGCGAACGGGUGAGUAAUAUAUCGGAACGUACCCAAGAGUGGGGGAUAACGUAGCGAAAGUUACGCUAAUACCGCAUACGAUCUAUGGAUGAAAGUGGGGGAUCGCAAGACCUCAUGCUCCUGGAGCGGCCGAUAUCUGAUUAGCUAGUUGGUGAGGUAAAGGCUCACCAAGGCGACGAUCAGUAGCUGGUCUGAGAGGACGACCAGCCACACUGGAACUGAGACACGGUCCAGACUCCUACGGGAGGCAGCAGUGGGGAAUUUUGGACAAUGGGCGCAAGCCUGAUCCAGCAAUGCCGCGUGAGUGAAGAAGGCCUUCGAGUUGUAAAGCUCUUUUGUCAGGGAAGAAACGGUUGGGGCUAAUAUCCUCGGCUAAUGACGGUACCUGAAGAAUAAGCACCGGCUAACUACGUGCCAGCAGCCGCGGUAAUACGUAGGGUGCGAGCGUUAAUCGGAAUUACUGGGCGUAAAGCGUGCGCAGGCGGUUUUGUAAGUCUGUCGUGAAAGCCCCGGGCUCAACCUGGGAAUUGCGAUGGAGACUGCAAGGCUUGAAUCUGGCAGAGGGGGGUAGAAUUCCACGUGUAGCAGUGAAAUGCGUAGAGAUGUGGAGGAACACCGAUGGCGAAGGCAGCCCCCUGGGUCAAGAUUGACGCUCAUGCACGAAAGCGUGGGGAGCAAACAGGAUUAGAUACCCUGGUAGUCCACGCCCUAAACGAUGUCUACUAGUUGUCGGGUCUUAAUUGACUUGGUAACGCAGCUAACGCGUGAAGUAGACCGCCUGGGGAGUACGGUCGCAAGAUUAAAACUCAAAGGAAUUGAC
rnacentral:rRNA from 1 species